rnacentral:lncRNA from 1 species
UAUGGAACGCCGUAACUGCCUUAUGUUAAAAACUUUCAUUAUAUGAUGGUACUUUGACAUUAUACGAUGGUACUUUGACAUUAUACGAUGGUACUUUGACAUUAUACGAUGAUACUUUGACAUUAUAUGAUGGUACUUUGACAUUAUACGAUGGUACUUUGACAUUAUACGAUGGUACUUUGACAUUAUAUGAUGGUACUUUGUCAAUUUACAGUAGCUCGGGUGUCUUCUACAAAUUUAAUCAUUUGUAUAUCAG